rnacentral:misc_RNA from 1 species
GAUGAAGAACGCAGUGAAAUGCGAAAAGUAGUGUGAAUUGCAGAAUUCAGUGAAUCAUCGAAUCUUUGAACGCACAUUGCGCCCCUUGGUAUUCCAUGGGGCAUGCCUGUUCGAGCGUCAUUUGUACCUUCAAGCUCUGCUUGGUGUUGGGUGUUUGUCCCGCUUUUUGCGUGGACUCGCCUCAAAGCAAUUGGCAGCCGGCGUACUAGCCUGGGAGCGCAGCACAUUUUGCGCAUCUCGACUGGAACGCUUGCGUCCAUUAAGCCUACACUUUUGCUCUUGACCUCGGAUCAGGUAGGGAUACCCGCUGAACUUAAGCAUAUCAAUAAGCGGAGGA